CUCAGGAUGAACGCUAGCGGCAGGCUUAACACAUGCAAGUCGAGGGGUAGUCUAGCAAUAGAUGAGACCGGCGCACGGGUGCGUAACGCGUAUGCAACCUACCUUUUACAGAGGGAUAGCCCAGAGAAAUUUGGAUUAAUACCUCAUAGCAUAGCAACUUCGCAUGAAGUCACUAUUAAAGUUCCAACGGUAAAAGAUGAGCAUGCGUCCUAUUAGCUAGAUGGUAAGGUAACGGCUUACCAUGGCUACGAUAGGUAGGGGUCCUGAGAGGGAGAUCCCCCACACUGGUACUGAGACACGGACCAGACUCCUACGGGAGGCAGCAGUGAGGAAUAUUGGACAAUGGGCGCAAGCCUGAUCCAGCCAUGCCGCGUGCAGGAAGAAGCAUCUAUGGUGUGUAAACUGCUUUUGUACGGGAAGAAACACUCCCUCGUGAGGGAGCUUGACGGUACCGUAAGAAUAAGGAUCGGCUAACUCCGUGCCAGCAGCCGCGGUAAUACGGAGGGUCCAAGCGUUAUCCGGAAUCAUUGGGUUUAAAGGGUCCGUAGGCGGUUUGGUAAGUCAGUGGUGAAAGCCCAUCGCUUAACGAUGGAACGGCCAUUGAUACUGCCAGACUUGAAUUACUGGGAAGUAACUAGAAUAUGUAGUGU
rnacentral:rRNA from 1 species